rnacentral:lncRNA from 1 species
AGGGCGUAGGUAGUACCAAUAGUUGCGUCGGUAGUACUGGCUGUCUUACACUAGUAGUACCGGCCUAAACUGUCGGUGGUACCGACAGGCAUUUAACUUCCGCAACUUGACUUUUGAGUUUCAGGUUUUUUAGAUACGCCUAUUCACCCCCCUCUAGGCGACAUCAAGGUGCUUACAGCUUCAUAUUUUUCUCUCUUACUACUUAUUCUUGUUGUCCCUACUAUGAACUACCC